AGAUUGAACGCUGGCGGCAGGCCUAACACAUGCAAGUCGAGCGGUAGAGAGGUGCUUGCAUCUCUUGAGAGCGGCGGACGGGUGAGUAAUGCCUAGGAAUCUGCCUAGUGGUGGGGGAUAACGUUCGGAAACGGACGCUAAUACCGCAUACGUCCUACGGGAGAAAGCGGGGGACCUUCGGGCCUCGCGCCAUUAGAUGAGCCUAGGUCGGAUUAGCUAGUUGGUGAGGUAAUGGCUCACCAAGGCGACGAUCCGUAACUGGUCUGAGAGGAUGAUCAGUCACACUGGAACUGAGACACGGUCCAGACUCCUACGGGAGGCAGCAGGUGGGGAAUAUUGGACAAUGGGCGAAAGGCCUGGAUCCGAGCCAUGCCGCGUGGUGUGGAAAGAAGGUUCUUACGGAUUAGGUAAAGCAACGUUUUAAGUUGGGAAGGUAAGGGUUUAGUAAACCUUAAUACGGUUAGACUAACGUUUUUGAACGUUUAACCGA
rnacentral:rRNA from 1 species